UGGUUAUUGGACCCGGCCCAACUGAAUACCCAGCUGGAUGAAAGAGUGAAGCAUGAAAUAACAAAGGUAGCACAAAAGGAUGGGAAGAGGAAUUCGAUGAGAUCGUGUAGACGCCCCCGGGGAUCAAUUCCUAAAUGCCGAAAGCCUUGCUCAACGUGUCACCUCUUUAUGUCUUCUGAGGACAGAAUCCAUUAGUAGAGAAAGGAGGGCUGUGUGACCUGGGGUAAGGCAAACGGCUACUAAUAGUCCACCUUGUACUGGUUAUUCAUUAAGCCCCAGGGUGCCCUUAUAAGAUGGACAGACACAGCAUAUGAUCUAAAGUCCGGAUCAGUUACUUCACCCAAAUCGUCAGUGUUGUUGGUUAUAGAAGGAUCUGAACCCCAUUCCUACAGCUUUAGAAAUGGCUAAACUUGUGACUAAACUUUGCUUUUCUUCUUACGUUUUUGUUUGUUUGCUUUGGUUCUGGCCCCCCAACACCCGAUAUCUUGGUGUAUCCUGCUUUGUGAAACGACAGAACUUCAAACACCAGCAUCCCUUCCAGAGAGGCCAGAGGGUCCCAAUACAAACCAACCAGGGGCCAAGAUGCAUUCAGAACUCCUGUGUUACCCUCUUAGGGGUGUGCUCAGGGGAACCAGAUGGGCCUAUUUAGAGAGUAUUUUCUUUUUCCCUUUUCGGUUAAGCAGAGAGCCACAGUGGCAAUCCUCUGAAUCAAAGGUUUGCUCCACACUGCUCAGCUGAAAUGUGGGCUGUGAUAAGCAGACAUGUGCUCCGGAGCUCAGAGGCCAACUGUGGGCUCCCUGUCCCACUUGGGGGUCUAAGCAGGGGAAAUCUUGCAGAAGGCACACUCACUCUGAAGACAGAAUGAUAGCUCCCUGGGGCUACUGGGCUCCCAGUUUAGCCCAAUACAGAAGCACGGGAGUGAGAAACAACGGGGUGAAUUCAAGUAAAUUCAUCAAGGGCACAUGAGGGCGAGAAGGCAGACCGAAAAGGCAGGAUCCAAGCAGACUUAGACAUAGCUUGGAACCCAUUCUCCCCUCCACCCUGACGAGUUCUGGUGCUUCAACACUGGCCCCUGACGAAUUGGGGAAACCUCCCAAAAGGUUGUCAGCCUCAGGCAGGAGCUUUGAGAAAGCCUGUGAACACUUCAGAGCAUCCCACACUGGCCAGAGAAGUAAUCCAGAGAAGUAAUCGGUCAUGAGGCUUCCCCCCUAGGGGGACUUCCUCAUUCAAGCUACACAUUAAACCCUGGAGUCAGUGAAUGCCAAAGGUUGGGGGUGAAGAUGAUGGCACGUGACCUCAAGACACUUCCUAGUUUUCUUAGAGUUUGGAAUCGAAGCUAUUGAAAUGUAGACUCACCUUAAAGAGCUGGAAGCGGUAGGUGUGUUUGUGGCGCGUGCAAGGGAAAGGGGGACCAGGAGGACGUGAGCAAGGGGAGGGCACCGUUUUCUCCAGAGGAAUUUAUGUGAUCUAUCCAGGAGGAAUGGAGCAGUUAAACUUGACAACUAUUGUUUUCAUAAUUCUUUUCUGGCCUGAUUCUUGUCCUAUUUAUUUAUUUAUUUUAGACUGUCUUGCUGCAUAGCUCAGUCUGGCCUUGAAUUCCUACCCUGCCUCAGCCUUCCCGAUGCCGAAAGUACACUCUCAUGCCCAGUUUGUUUCCCGUCUUCCUAUUUAAAUAUUUCCUACCCUGAGCAUCAUAACAACAAACCCACCUCAAUUCAGAAAUGCACCCCAGGCUGGUGAGAUGGCUCAGUGGUUAGAGGUCUUUUUGCUCAAGCAGAAAGAUUAGCUCUCCCAAAAAUAUCCAGGUAAAUUCCAGGUGGGCAGAGCAGCUCACUUGUGUUCCAGUGGUUGAAAGACAGGAUCUCUCCUAGGAUCUCCCAUUGGUCUAGAGCUCCCCACCAAUUAUCUGGCCAUCCAGUGGGCCCCAGAGAUAUUUCUAUCUUUGCCCCUCCAACCCUGGGAUGACAAGGAUGUACCACCACACCUGUCUUAUUUACCUGAGUUCUGAGGAUGAGGCUCAGGUCCCUGUUGUUGCACGGCUAGCACUUCUCAUUCUGAGCGUCUCUCCAGCACUCGAAAGGCAGACACAGAUGAGUUUGAGCACUCGAUAGGCAGAUCUGUAUGAGUUUGAGGCCAAUCCAGUGUAGAGAGUUCCAGGCCAACCAAGAUGACAUAGACACCGUCAAAAAAAAAGGGCAGGGUGAUGGAGACAUGGUUCAUCAGCAACAGUACUGGCUUCUCUUGAGGACCUGUUCCCUGUACCAACGUGACAGCUCAAUGGACCCCCAGUUCCAGGGGAUCCAAUGCCCUCUUCCAGCCCUUAGGUAAAAGGCGCGCUCCCAUAUACACACAUAGUCAAAACACACUUAAAAUACUCUUUAAAUUCUAUUAAUUUUUAUUUGUUCAUUUUAUUUUCAAAACAGGAUUUCACUAGGUAGCAGCAGCUGUCCUGGAACUCACUCUGUAGACCAGGCUGGCCUUGAACUCAGAGAUCUACCUGCCUCUGCCUCCAGAGGGCUGGGACUAAAGGCUUGUACCAUGACCACCUGGGCAAAAUGACUUUUUAAAAAUGACAUGUUGGGAGAAUUUAGCAAUAGCUAGUAACAUUAGCAACACCAUCAAGUUAUGCAUGCUCCACAAUACCACAAUUCCGUGCAAAAUGUUUACCUGAACAUAGGCUGUCGAGGUAGCUCAUCUGAUGAGGGAGCUUGCACCAAGCCUGUCAGCAUGAGCUCAAUCCCUAGGAGCCCAGUGGAGGAGAGCAGUGACUCCUGCAGGUUCUCCCCUGAUUGCUACACCUGCCUUGGUGCUCGUAUGUGAGUAUACACACAUCAAUAAAUAAAUUUAAAAUUCUUAUUGUUUUGAGAUAGUUUCUUACUAUAUAGUCCUAGCUGGCCUCAUCCUCAGAGAUCUGCCUGCCUCUGCAGUAAGAAUUUUGGUUUCUGGGGUUGGGGAUUUAGCUCAGUGGUAGAGUGCUUGCCUAGGAAGCGCAAGGCCCUGGGUUCGGUCCCCAGCUCUGAAAAAAAGAACCAAAAAAAAAAAAAAAAAAGAAUUUUGGUUUCUUUAAAAACCAGUUAUGAUAUGUGAAUAUUUUUUUGCUCUAAUCCCAGGUGUGAGAUCAUCACAGCAGGUGAUUAUGAUUUGCCUCGUGCACCAGCAGGGGCGAGAUCCUUGCCAGCUACAGACAGCUGAAUUCUGGGGAUUCUGGGGAGACGAAGUAAAUGGAAAAGCCCCAAGAAGGCCUAGGAGGCUGCCACUCCCCUUGCCAGUCCUGCUUGCUGCUGUGGUGGUUGGUCAAGUGUUUGUGAGCAAAGAGACAAGAAGUUAGAGAUAUCCUGACAGCAAAGACUGGACAGUCCUAAGGAACCCAAGGCCCCUAGUCAUCAGGAAAUAGUCUAUUUUGCUGAGUGAAAGAAGUCAGGCCCCCUUCCCCUCUAACCUUUCUCUCCUACCUAGUGUUGUGGGGUCAGAAGGGUGAUGGGUAUGGGAACCCAAUAAAAGAGCCACCGAAGAAAAUCUGUGCCAGCGUCUGCCUCCCUAUUAAAGGUGUUCACUACAGUGUCUGGUUGAUUUCCAAAAGCUGUAAGGGAGCUGGAACGAGGGCUCAUGGGUUAAAUGCGUGUACUGUUCUUCCUGGGACCAGAGUUGGGUUCAGCUGCACAUUAGGCAGCUGGUAAUCACUUUGAGGAACCUGACACCUUCUUUUAGCCUCUGUAGGCACUUCAGGCACAUGCACAGACCCACACAGAGACAUACAUUCAUACACAUAAUUAAACACCAAAAUAAACCUUUAAAGAUGUUUGAAAGAAAGAUUUGGCUGGAUGUUGGUGGUGCACACCUUUAGUUCCAGUGUAAGGGACUGGACUCUGAGGCUGAGGCCAGCCUGAUCUACAGAGUGAUUUCCAGGAUAGCCAGGACUACACAGAGAUACUCUGUCUUGAAAUAAACAAACAAGCACAAAUGGUUUGAAAUGUACUGAGAGAACAUGUAUAAAACAAGACUCCAGGUCCUGUAACAAAAAAAGCCAGAAAUGGCAUGAAUAUCCAUUAUCAGUAUGCAUAGAGGCAUGCUUGCACCAAAACUAAUAUGUAACAAAGAGAAAAACUUUAUUGGCUCGGUCCUUGUACAGCCAAGGGACUGAAUCUCAGGAACAUAACCUGGAGCUGGAAAAUUGGUUCACUAGGUAAAGACACAUCCUGCCAAACUCGACCACCUGAGUUCAGGGACCCAUACAGUAAAAAGGAGAAUUGACUCCUGCAAAUUGUCCUGUGACUUGUACACACUCUGAUAUUUGCUGCCAUCGUGGAAAGGGAGAGGGCUGAGAGUGUAGAACCCCAGCGCUCCAGUCUUGCAAUGUGCUAAGUCCCUGACCUCACACGGGCAACUCCCGACCCAGGCGGGCAGGCAGGCAGGCAGGACAAGAGGGAGCCAGAGAAGUUGUCAGGACAGAUUCCACUCCUGAAGCUAGCAUGGCCUCCCCUCCUGUGGUGUGACCUCAGACAUGAGCUGUCUAGGGCUGGCCCUGUGAGUCAGCCCUGAGUCCCACCCCACCUCACGCCUUUCCCGUGGGGCGUCAGGGCUCAAAGCCUUCUUUCAGAAUGAGGCCAGGAAAACCAAGGACGUAAUGUGACCAAGUACAGCUGAAUAACCGGCGUGUCUGAAUAUUAAUGGGAAGUAGCUUUUGUAGCCAAGGAAAUCCAAAACAGAUUCUCUGAAAACAAGAUCUCUAAUCUAGACCCAAGUCAAACAAAUAGAAAACAAGAAAAACCCCAAAUUCCUAAAUCUCCCUAAUGAUAGAAACCUCAGAAGAAAUCCUACUUUUAUGUAAAAGUGUUGUUUUAAAAAAAAAAUUAGUUUCAGUCUGGCCAUGGUAGUACACGCCUCUAAUCCAAGCACUUGGGAGGCAGAGGAUGGCAAAUCCCUCUGAGGUAGGGAGGUAGGGACUCCCCCACCCCAGUCUACACAGCAAAUUCCAGGUCAUCCCCAUCCAGGUCUACAUAGUGAGACCCUGCCUCAAAACAACUUUGUUGUUGUUGUUGUUGGUGGUGGUGGUGGUGGUGGUGGUGGUGGUGGUGGUGGUGGUGGUGGUGGUGGUGGUGGUGGUUAAUGCUAUAGGCCAACCCCUGAGCUUUGUGCAUGAAGAUAACUAGCUGCUCUAUCACUGAGGUAUAGCGUCCUCUUAGGCCAGGGCUUGAGUUACCACUUAGCCGAGGACGCCCUCGAUCUCAACCAUCUGCUUUAGUGUCAUUUCUGUUGUUGACAGAAAAUAUCCUGGCAAAUGCCAGGCAGCACUCGGGAGGCAGAGGUGGGUGGAUCUCUGAGUUCUAGUCCAGCCUGGUCUACAAAGUGAUUCCAGGACAGCCAGAGCUACCCGGAGAAACUCUUGUCUUGGAAAACAAAACAAAAGAACUCCUGGCAAAAGCAUCUUAGAGACGAAAGGGUUUGCUUUCUCUUAUAGUUCCAGAUUCUAGUCCAUCACUGUCAGGGAGUCAUAACAGCAGGAGCAUGAAGCAGCUAGUUCCUACUGUCCAUGCCAAGAACAGAGAAAUACAUGCCUGCCUGCCUGCCUAUACUCAGCUAGCCCUCCAUGUUCCCUACUCAUACACAAUCCUGGGUUCAAACCCAGGGGACGUUGUUGCUUUCGUCCUGGAUCUUCCCACAUCAGUUAAGGCAACCCAGUCAAGCCCCUACCUGCAUCAGGCCAGCCUUCCAGGUGAGUCUAGGCUGUGUAAGUAGCCGGCACAGAGGAGCAGUAACACGGUUAGUUGCCCAGCACAUGUGCGGCUCUAAGAUGAAUCCCUAGCACCACACGACAAAAUAAAAUUCCUGAGACGUAUGGUAAGUCAAAGAACUCAGAUGGGUUCGGUGAACCUGCAGAGAUGCAGGACACCGGGACAAACCGGGACAAACCUGAGCAUUCACAUUUCCUGAUUCCAAAACUCAGCACAAAACUACAAACACCACUGGGCAUGGUGGUUCGCACCUUCAAUCCCAGCACUCUGGGGGCAGAGGCAGGUGGAUCUCAGAGUUCAAGACCAGCCUGGUCUACAGAGUGAGAUCCAGGACAUCAGGAUGACUACAUAGAUAAACCCUGCUUUUAAAAAAAGGGGGUGGGGGGAGGUUGGAGAGAUGGCUCAGCAGUCAAGAGCACAUCUGCUCUCACAGAGGUCCUCAGUUCAAUUCCCAGCACCCACAUGGUGGCUCACAACCAUCUGUAAUGAGAUCUGGUGCCCUCUUCUGGUCUGCAGGGAUAUAUGCAGACAGAAAGCUAUAUACAUAAUAAAUCUUUUUUUAAAACAAGUAAAAGAAAAAAACCACAAACAAGGUAACUUACAAAAGAAAACACUGAUGUAGGGCCUUGCUUACCCCUUCAGAGGAUUAGUUUAUAAUCGUCACUGUGGGGAGCAUGGUGGUGGGCCAGCGUGGUGAUGACGUAGUAGCUGAGAGCCAGACUUGAUCCUCAAGUUGCAGACAGAGAGUCUGGGGCCUGACCUGCACUAUUGAAACCGCAAGCCACUCAGGUGUUGGUGGCACACACCUUGAAAUCUCAAAGCCGACCCCGGCCCACUGAUGUAUUUUCUCUACAAGGCCACACCUUCUAAACCUUCCUAACAGUCCACCAAACUGGGAACCAAGCAUUGAAAUAUAAGAGCUCGGCUGGGGAUUUAGCUCAGUGGUAGAGCGCUUGCCUAGGAAGCGCAAGGCCCUGGGUUCGGUCCCCAGCUCCGAAAAAAAAAAAAAAAAAAAAAAAAGAACCGAAAUAUAAGAGCUCAUGGGAGCCAAUCUCAUCCAAACCACCACACAUGCUUAUGGGCAAAAUGCCUAAUACUUCUACUACUACUACUACUACUACUACUACUACUACUACUACUACUACUAAUAAUAAUAAUAAUAAUAAUAAUUUUAAGGUUACAAUGAUUAAGACUCCAUGGCACUAGCAUAAUAUACACAUAUAAGGGAACUAGAGAUAACCCUGACCUAACAUGCUAAAUUAACAGAAUUGAACCCAGACCCAACCAAACCCUUGUAUUACAGUCUAUUUUUUAAAAUGUAUUCAUUUUUAUUUUAUGUACCUGAGUGUUCGCCUGGAUAUAUGUCUGUAUAACACUGUAUGUGCCUGGCGCCCACAGAGACCGGAAGAGGGCCUCAGAUCUGGAGCAACAGAGGGUCAUGAGCCACCUUGUGGGUGCUGGAAUCAAGCCCAAGUCCUCUGCAAGAGCACUCCCAAGUCCGCUUAACCACGGAGCCGUCUCGCCAGAGCCAUUGCUGUUUUUGUGAGACACUAUACUAUAUACCCUGGCUGACUGGAAUGUAAAGGGACCCUCCUGCUUCUGGCCUCUCAAGUGCUGGAGUUAAAAAUGCUAGCCGCCACACCCAGCUGCAGCAGCUUUUAUGAUCACGUGAAGGCAACUGAGUGGGGGAAAGUGUGGCAUGGAGAUAACCCAGAUACAUGCGAAAGAAUGAAGUUGAGCCAGAUGUGGUGGUGCUCACCUUUCCUCCCAGUGCUCAGGACUAAGCAGGUAGGGCUCUGAGUUUGAGGCCAGCCUGUUCCACAGAGAGAGUUCCAGGACAGUCAGGACUACACAGAGAUUCCCUGUCUUUUUUUCUUUUCUUUUUUUUUUUUUUUUUUUUUUUGAGCUGGGGACCGAACCCAGGGCCUUGUGCUUGCUAGGCAAGCGCUCUACCACUGAGCUAAAUCCCCAACCCCGAGAUUCCCUGUCUUAAAAAGACCACCACCACCACCACCACCCACCACACACACACACACACACACACACACACACACACACACACACACACAGAGAGAGAGAGAGAGAGAGAGAGAGAGAGAAAGAAACAAAAAAAGAAGUUGAACCCUCUUCUCAAAACAAAUACAAAAAUGAACCUAAAUGCCCAGGUCAUGACAGCACAUACCUUUAAUCCCAGCACUCCUGAGGCAAAGGCAGGCGGAUCUCUUUUGAGUUUGAGGCCAGCCUGGUCUCCAGAGUGAGUUCCAGGACAGCUAGGGAUACAUAGAGAAACCUCUCUGGGGGGUUGAGGUUAGUAAGAGGGGGAGUUAAGAAUUACAAAAAGCGGGGCUGGGGAUUUAGCUCAGUGGUAGAGCGCUUACCUAGGAAGCGCAAGGCCCUGGGUUCGGUCCCCAGCUCCGAAAAAAAAGAACCAAAAAAAAAAAAAAAAAAAAGAAUUACAAAAA